rnacentral:rRNA from 1 species
AGUGAACGCUGGCGGUAGGCCUAACACAUGCAAGUCGAACGGCAGCACAGUAAGAGCUUGCUCUUACGGGUGGCGAGUGGCGGACGGGUGAGGAAUACAUCGGAAUCUACUUGUGCGUGGGGGAUAACGUAGGGAAACUUACGCUAAUACCGCAUACGACCUACGGGUGAAAGCAGCGGAUCUUCGGACCUUGCGCGAUUGAAUGAGCCGAUGUCGGAUUAGCUGGUUGGCGUGGUAAAGGCCCACCAAGGCGAUGAUCCGUAGCUGGGCUGAGAGGAUGAUCAGCCACACUGGCACUGAGCCACGCUCGCGACUCCUACGCGAGGAAGCAGUGGGGAAUAUUGGACAAUGGGCGCAAGCCUGAUCCAGCCCUACCGCGUGGGUGAAGAAGGCCUUCGGGUUGUAAAGCCCUUUUGUUGGGAAAGAAAAGCAGCAGGUUAAUACCCCGCUGUUCUGACGGUACCCAAAGAAUAAGCACCGGCUAACUUCGUG